UUUCUAAGAAUAUUCUUUUUUAGAGUAGAAAAUAGAGCUAUACACUGGAGAGAAAUCCAUCUCUAAAAUAGAGUUACUCUAUUUUAGAGGUGGAUAUAGAGCUAUACAUUGUAGAUGGUCUUAGCCGCCUACAUGAAACAUCUGUUUAUCUAGGCCUAAUUUCUUUGUUGUUCGCCGACAGAUUUAGGUAAGCUUUACAUGAUUUUGC
rnacentral:sRNA from 1 species